UACGUAGGGUGCAGGCGUUAAUCGGAAUUACUGGGCGUAAAGCGUGCGCAGGCGGUCUAUUAAGACAGGUGUGAAAUCCCCCGGGCUUAACCUGGGAACUGCGCUUGUAACUGAUAGGCUUGAGUGUGGCAGAGGGGGGUGGAAUUCCAGGUGUAGCAGUGAAAUGCGUAGAUAAUCUGGAGGAACACCGAUGGCGAAGGCAGCCCCCUGGGCUAACACUGACGCUCCAUGCACGAAAGCGUGGGGAGCAAACAGG
rnacentral:rRNA from 1 species